AGGGAAUAGUGUCCUAGGGACUUAUUUGAAACAGAGAAAGAGGAAAGCAGACAGGUACCUGAGUGCAACUUGUUUUUCCAUUUCCUAUUUAGAUUUAAAUUUAUCUAAAAAUAUGCACAUAACUUCUAAAAUGUAUAACUUGAGAAAUAUAAGUCCAAAGUUAAUACAACUAAUUUUGUAGUUUUGGAUAAAAUGGACUUCCAACUAAAAAUAGGAAACUGCAUGUUUUUAGUACAUUUCUAGGACUUUUGAAUUAAAUUAGUAAACCACUCAUUUCAAAAUAAUUGAAGGAAAAUAGUUAAACUAUUGGGCUAGGCCUGGAAUUUUUUGAAUAUGUGUAAUACAUGUUUUGCCACCCAAUGAGAAUUUUUAACACCCUGGUCUAAAUCUUUAAGAGAGAGUUAUCUACUUAAAACUAUUUGGGGCCUUAACUAAAUAAAUCAAGAAAAAUAGUAAAUAGAGGAAACCAGAGAGCUCACUAUUUUCCCAGACUAAGUAAGUGAGAUAGAACCUAUGAAAAAUACAAACCACCCUGGAAUAGACAAAAAAGGGAUAAGAACCUUUUAUUUUGGUAAAAUAAGAAAAACUUUAGAAAAACAUAGGAAAUUAUCCAUGAGGAUAUAAAGCCCAAACUUUAAGAUUGACUGCUCUUAUGCUAAGAAGAACAUAGGGAAAUUUCUGAUCUGUUGUUU
rnacentral:lncRNA from 7 species